rnacentral:rRNA from 1 species
AGAGUUUGAUCCUGGCUCAGGAUGAACGCUGGCGGUAUUCCUAACACAUGCAAGUCGAACGAAGUCUUCGGACUUAGUGGCGGACGGGUGAGUAACACGUGAGAAUCUACCUUCAGGAUGGGGACAACAGUUGGAAACGACUGCUAAUACCCAAUGUGCCGAGAGGUGAAACUUUUUUGGCCUGAAGAUGAGCUCGCGCCUGAUUAGCUAGUUGGUAGAGUAAAAGCCCACCAAGGCGACGAUCAGUAGCUGGUCUGAGAGGAUGAGCAGCCACACUGGGACUGAGACACGGCCCAGACUCCUACGGGAGGCAGCAGUGGGGAAUUUUCCGCAAUGGGCGAAAGCCUGACGGAGCAAUACCGCGUGAGGGAGGAAGGUCUUUGGAUUGUAAACCUCUUUUCUUAGGGAAGAAGCUCUGACGGUACCUAAGGAAUAAGCAUCGGCUAACUCCGUGCCAGCCGCGGUAAUACGGAGGAUGCAAGCGUUAUCCGGAAUUAUUGGGCGUAAGGCGUCCGUAGGUAGUCUUGCAAGUCUGCUGUCAAAGCAUGGAGCUUAACUCCAUAAAGGCGGUGAAACUGUGAGACUAGAGUUCGGUAGGGGUAGCGGGAAUUCCCAGUGUAGCGGUGAAAUGCGUAGAUAUUGGGAAGAACAUCGGUGGCGAAAGCGCGCUACUGGGCCGAAACUGACACUGAGGGACGAAAGCUAGGGUAGCGAAAGGGAUUAGAUACCCCUGUAGUCCUAGCCGUAAACGAUGGAUACUAGGCGUGGCUUGUAUCGACCCGAGCCGUGCCGAAGCUAACGCGUUAAGUAUCCCGCCUGGGGAGUACGCACGCAAGUGUGAAACUCAAAGGAAUUGACGGGGGCCCGCACAAGCGGUGGAGUAUGUGGUUUAAUUCGAUGCAACGCGAAGAACCUUACCAAGGCUUGACAUCUCCGGAAUUCUUGUGAAAGCGAGAAGUGCCUUAGGGAACCGGAAGACAGGUGGUGCAUGGCUGUCGUCAGCUCGUGUCGUGAGAUGUUGGGUUAAGUCCCGCAACGAGCGCAACCCUCGUUUUUAGUUGCCAGCAUUAAGUUGGGCACUCUAGAGAGACUGCCGGUGACAAACCGGAGGAAGGUGGGGACGACGUCGAGUCAUCAUGCCCCUUACGCCUUGGGCUACACACGUACUACAAUGGUCAGGACAACGGGCAGCGAACUCGCGAGAGCAAGCGAAUCCCAUCAAACCUGGCCUCA